AUGGUCACUUCGGCAGCACAUACACUAAAAUUGGAACGACACAGAGAAGAUUAGCAUGGCCCCUGUGCAAGGAUGACAUGCAGAUUUGUGAAACUUCCAUAUUUUUA